GCCGGGCGUGGUGGCGGGCGCCUGUAGUCCCAGCUACUCGGGAGGCUGAGGCAGGAGAAUGGCGUGAACCCGGGAGGCGGAGCUUGCAGUGAGCCGAGAUCGCGUCACUGCACUCCAGCCUGGGCGACAGAGCGAGACUCCGUCUCAAAAACUAAAUAAAUAAAAAUAAAACUUUUUUUGUUUGUUUUGUUUUGUUUGAGACAGAGUCUCGCUCUGUCGCCCAGGCUGGAGUGCAGUGGUGCAAUCUCGGCUCACUGCAAGCUCCGCCUCCCGGGUUCACGCCAUUCUCCUGCCUCAG
rnacentral:SRP_RNA from 2 species